rnacentral:rRNA from 1 species
UACAGGGGGGGCAAGUGUUAUUCGAAAUGACUGGGCGUAAAGGGCAGGUAGGCGGCCAAAUUUGUUGAAUUGUAAAGAUCAAUGCUUAACAUUGAGAAAUGAUUCAAGAACGUUUUGGCUCGAGAUCUAAAGAGGAUAGUGGAAUUUUGAGUGUAGGGUUGAAAUCCAAAAAUAUUCAAAAGAACAUCAGUGGCGAAGGCGACUAUCUUGGUAGAUACUGACGCUGAACUGCGAAAGCGUGGGGAUCAAAUGGG